UCACUGUGGACUGUCAGAGUCGCCGUGAAAACGUCAUGUCGCCGUGUGGCCGUCCAAUCACCAGGGUUGACCCCGCUCUCGGCGGGACAAUGCCCCUAGGUAACUGCACCGCAUAUCCGUGUCAGAGCUGACAACGUCUGGCGGCUGUACGGUGGUUGGAGGAGCCGACCGACCCAAAGUCGGUAGCCAGCUGAGUGGUGUCGGGCCCCUCCAUUGGUCGGCGAGCUUCAUAUGAGUCGGCCAUCAGACCUCUGGGUUCAGUCGGUCAGGAUGGAUACGCCCGACAUACCCCCGGUCGGCGAUAGGCCGUUGAACGGCCGGCAGUUAGCCGCUGAUGGCAUCUGUCAGUCGGUUGCCCCGACCG
rnacentral:lncRNA from 1 species